AUUUGAAAUAAUUGAGGACCAUAUUAAGAGGCAGAUGCUAAUUUAGUAGGUCUGCAUGAGAUUGAGAUUCAGCAUUUCUAACAGGCUCCCAGUUGAUACUGAU
rnacentral:pre_miRNA from 1 species